GACGAACGCUGGCGGCGUGCCUAACACAUGCAAGUCGAGCGAGGAGAGUUCCUUCGGGAACAACCUAGCGGCGGACGGGUGAGUAACACGUGGGCAACCUACCUUGUAGAGGGGAAUAGCCUUCCGAAAGGAAGAUUAAUACCGCAUAACAUUACAGUUUCGCAUGAAACAGUAAUUAAAGGAGCAAUCCGCUACAAGAUGGGCCCGCGGCGCAUUAGCUAGUUGGUGAGGUAACGGCUCACCAAGGCGACGAUGCGUAGCCGACCUGAGAGGGUGAUCGGCCACAUUGGGACUGAGACACGGCCCAGACUCCUACGGGAGGCAGCAGUGGGGAAUAUUGCACAAUGGGGGAAACCCUGAUGCAGCAACGCCGCGUGAGUGAUGAAGGUUUUCGGAUCGUAAAGCUCUGUCUUCGGGGACGAUAAUGACGGUACCCGAGGAGGAAGCCACGGCUAACUACGUG
rnacentral:rRNA from 1 species